rnacentral:lncRNA from 1 species
CAAGACCCGGAGCCCGGACGAUGCCAACUACAGUACAUCACAAAGUGACGGUAACCUCUUGAGUAGAUGACGACGAGAGAGAUCAUUCAUCAAGACAAUGAAAUGAGUAGCCUAUUGCUGUUCCUGUAGAACUUCUCUGCCGGUGCCAGAGCAUUCACAGAAAAAGCGACCAAGGGUUUCCUGGUAGCUGGGGACGAGGAUGGUGAUGGCAAGAUUGGAGUUGACGCGUUUCUUGCCCUUGUAAAGGCAUAAUUGUCCAUUGACCAAGAUCAACCGCUUUUCACAGAACCAGAACUCCUAGCAAGAAUCAUUAACUUUCAGCUAAAUUCAUAUUUUUAUUUAUCAACUGCCUGCGGACUAUAUUUCUCAACAUGGAGCACAAUGUCCUUGUAGUGUAUUGUUAAUGUUAUUUGGAUGUGUUAUAA